ensembl:lncRNA
GCCGGGUAGGCUGGACGUCGGCUUACCUGGCAGGUGGGCAGGGCAGGCGGCGGGAAGCGACGGCCGGCCGGGGCUCUGCCCGCGGGGGCCCAGAGCCAAGUGCAGGUGGCGGCGCCGGCGACUCGGGUGGCUGUGGCUCCCGCGGCCGCUCGGCUCAACUCCUCCUCCGCCGCCGCUUCCUGCCUUCCCGCCGGGCCUCCCGCGUUGCCAAGCGAGGCCGCGCCGAAGGCUCCUCUUCCUCUGCGAGUCUCCCAGGUGAGCUCCCGCCGGCGACGUCGGCAGGGGCGAGGCCGGAUCCCGCGCCUGCGCGCCAGCCCCGCGCCCCGCCCCGGUCCUACCUGAGCGCUCCAGGUGAGCCACGGGCCGGCCGGGCGCGCGCCGAGCAAACUCCUCCGCAGCCCGCGCGCCGCCCGCCAACCCCGCAGAGCCGAGCCUGCGCUGCCCCGCGCCGCGGCCACCUGGUACCCAGAGCCCACAGGCGGGGACCCUGAGAAAUCUGAGCCGUACUUCCCCCUACCCCAACCCCACGCGGCUCCCCUUCCUCUCCGAGUGGUCCAAACCCGGGGAUGCGGCGCCCCGCGGGACCAGGGUGAGACCGUGUUGCUUUGCUCCCGGGGCUCAGCAGCUUUGUCGCCAGUUAGGUCGGUGAGCUUCCUUCCCCUGUAGCCUUGAUUUCAUCACUCCUCUCACUUGAGCGCAGCUAGUGGUUUCCGUUUCUGGCCGCGGGCGCUAGGGUAGGGAAGCCUCACGUCCCAAGGAGGCGCCUCCCUUUUUCAAAGUAGAGCUUCUGGUAUUUGGUCAAGCUUCAUUGAUUUGAGGUCCUCAGCCACCCCUUUCUACGUUGCUAUCUAUUGCAAGGCCAACCGAUAUCCACAGGAGAGGGAUAGCAGAGCCCUCGGGAGAAUCCCUCUGCCAGGGUUUGGAAAGAGUUUGUGGUUUCCUGGAAAGGAAUUGUUUUGACUGAAGAGUAGAUUAAAAGCCAACAUCUGUUCUGAAGGAUAUCUAGUGGAUACCACAAAAGGAGUGUGGGAGUUGG